AUGCAGUCAACAACCAACUUCACGGAAAUGGUGCGAGAAUUCAUGUGAAUGCGAAAAGGUGAACAGUUUUGAGGCUGGGAUUACUUGAGCACGAUCAAACACUAUCUUCUCGACACUGUGAUAGUAUUACUGUGCGUCCCGGCGUAUGGUCAGUCAGAACCGAACAGCCCUAUUGACACAUGCGGCCUGAUUCAGAAACCUCGUCGUGGACAACCUGUCGUAGCUAGAGAUGCUUCUGACGCUCACAAACAGUUUGUACGGAAAUUGAAGGGCUUCACCAAAACUGCCAAAAAGCUGCGAAAAUCCGUUGAGAAGACUUGGGACAUUCCGCGAAGCCUCCUGAGGGAAUAUCGCAAUCAAGGCAUCACAGAUCUUCAUCCCAGGGAAGGAAGACGUCUUCGAAUGCCAAAAAACAAGAGGGUACAACCACUGUUCGAUGCGGCGUGGUGGCUGACGUCUAUGCAGAAAGCGGCUCACGAACUGUAUCAGAUGAAGAUCAUUUCUGGAAAGUUUACCAAAGAGCUUGCGACUCUGUCCAACGACCUCUACGGCACCCUCUUAGUCAUGAACAUCCGCAUCAGAAGACCAAGGGCACUCUGCCUCCGGGAACAAACAAUUGACUUCCCUCUAAAGCAACGAGAUGUUACAAAGGAAAGUCGGUAUGCAUACAUUGUCCUACGGGACAUUGAACGAGGAGUGAAACGGAUGGCAAAGAUAUUGAGGAAAUGUAAGGUUUCUGUUUCCAAUAAGAAGUCCCGACUCAGGUGUAGAAAAGUGAAGUCUAUAUUCUACUCGAAAAAAUCGAAAACGGUUCUUGGAACAUGGCAAGACAUUUUUACAUGAAAUGGACGGUGACAUGAUGCAAGACAUGUUUGCUGUUGUGGAUGAUAUUGACUUGUGAGAAUUGUUUGUUGGUAGUCACUCCCCAAUUUCAAAGACGAAAGAUAAGGCAGUAUUCUGAUAUGACAGUAUUCCUCAGAUCAACGUAUCUUGGCAAUGCAAUGCAAUGUGUAGUUUGUUGACUUCGGGGGAACAAUGAUGACUCAUUGGCACUGAACGUCCAGAUUAAGUUUAAACUGCUAUUUUAAAAUGGCUAUUAUUAAAAUCAUGUGUAUAAGAUAUGCUUGAAUGCGUGUACAUCUGUAUGUCCAUGUGUGUGUGUGUGUGUGUGUGUGCGUGCGCGUGUACAGGUCCGCGUGUCCAUAUCUGAGAGCAUGACCAUGUGUGUGUGUGUGUGUGUGUGUGUGUGUGUGUGUGUGUGUGAGCAAUUCUAGUUUGAGAAAAAACACAUUAUUUAUACAAGAAGAUUUUUGUGUGUACGCUUUAACUUAUUUUUACGUGACAAUCAUCUGGCAUUGUACAUACAUAUAGUAUUUAUUGCUGAACUUGAAAUGUUGCUGUUUUAUCAGUAAUCCGUCAUUUUAAACGAGAUCGCAUUUCCAUGUCAAGCUUUGCUCAUAUCGGCGCCAAGGCAUGCUGUCUAAAUAAGGGGCUAAAUAAAUGAAGAACAGGACAAAGCGUAUAGGAAAGGUGUCUAUACCCAUUGAAUAGAUGCAUUCUUUGUCGAUUGGUAAAAUACAAAAUUAAAUUUAUGGAUCUUUGAAGAGUGUUGAACUGUUUUGGAGCCCAACUGAUAGUAAAAUGUACAACUAAAAAGAAGCAUGGUAUGACAUUAACUGUCGUAAUAUGAAAGAAUCGGGGGUCCUUAACAUUUUUAGUAGUAUAUUUGGGACCUGUCCAUUUCCAUUCCAGCAUUCAGUAUUUCAACAAACGCCGGUAACAAUUCUUUUUUAUUGGUUUUAUUGAACACUGUAUAUGAAGCUGAAAUAGGCAAAUCAAACUAUACAUACCCUAGUAAAAUAUGGGUUGAACUUCAAUUAUUCGAAGUCACUGUAGUUGACAUAAAAUGCCUUAUGUAUGAUGUAUAGUUCUCUGAUGCAUUUAUGCUGAUCCGGGUGGUUUCUAUGAACAAAUGUGAAACUCUAUUUAUUAGCCAAAGACAAGCUAUAUGUUUUAUAUGACUAUUCUAUCACUGUGUUUUUAUUUGUUAUUUGUUAUUUACAUGUUAUUUACAUGUGUUUAUGUCACAGAAUCUUGCUUGGAUGUUUUGUCGUGUAUCCAACGUGACAUGUUGUCUAAAAUGACCGUGACAAGACUGAAUAUAUCCUUCAUGAAGAAUAGGUAUGAUUUUCUUCUCGUCCGAGAAACGCCAGCUAACACGUACCUUAAAGAAUGUGAAUUCAUACACACCACUGCCGGAUGUUGCCCUUUAACAAAACAAACAAAAUCUCAUGUCUUGUGCAUGCAUUUUGUUUUUAAUAAUAAAAUUAUUCAUUUUUUAAUGAUUCAGUGUCAUGUCAUUUACAUCCAUUGAAUGUAUUUUUAUCCGAUAUAUUAAAUUUAUGCAUUUAUAAACCUUCAGUCGUUAUCUUGUU
rnacentral:misc_RNA from 1 species